rnacentral:rRNA from 1 species
CACGGAGUUAGCCGAUGCUUUUUCUCCGGGUACUCUCCCGGUCCGGACGCGUCCGGACCACUGCUCCCCGGCAAAAGAGGUUUACGACCCGCAGGGCCUUAAUCCCUCACGCGACUUGGCUGGUUCAGGCUUCCGCCCAUUGACCAAUAUUCCUCACUGCUGCCUCCCGUAGGAGUCUGGGCCGUGUCUCAGUCCCAGUGUGGGGGGCCUUCCUCUCAGAACCCCUACGCAUCGUCGCCACGGUGGGCCGUCACCCCGCCGUCUAGCUAAUGCGCCGCAUGCCCAUCCGCCACCGGAUCGCUCCUUUGGCCACCGGAGGAUGCCCUCCGGUGGCGUCACGGGGUAUUAGGCCGCGUUUCCGCGGGUUAUCCCCCUGUGGCGGCCAGGUUGCAUACGUGUUACUCACCCGUGCGCCGGUCGCCGGCGGGCGAAAGCAAGCUUCCGCCCCGCUGCCCCUCGACUUGCAUGUGUUAAGCCUGUCGCUAGCGUUCAUCCUGAGCCAGGAUCAAACUCU